UACGUAGGGGGCAAGCGUUGUCCGGAAUCAUUGGGCGUAAAGCGCGUGUAGGCGGUUCGGUAAGUCGGCUGUGAAAGUCCAGGGCUCAACCCUGGGAUGCCGGUCGAUACUGCCGGACUAGAGUUCGGAAGAGGCGAGUGGAAUUCCCGGUGUAGCGGUGAAAUGCGCAGAUAUCGGGAGGAACACCAAUGGCGAAGGCAGCUCGCUGGGACGUUACUGACGCUGAGACGCGAAAGCGUGGGGAGCGAACAGG
rnacentral:rRNA from 1 species